AAAGAAGAAAAUGGAUGUGAUCAAAGUUGGAUCAGACAAAAACUUUAUCAGUCCAGUCCGCUUAUGCUUUCUGUUACAGUGUAUGUAACUGUAAAAACAUAUCUUUUCUCUGGAAAAUGUGCCAACCCUCUGGCAGCUCUCUUGUACAACCUCACACAGUUACUACUUCCAGCCACUUUCUUUAGCGCUUACUGCACACUAACUACUUCUCAGUUUCCCAAAACCAAAAAAAAAGCCAAAUGCUGAUUUCCAGGUCCACUGGGAUUCCCUUUACACAAAGCAGAACAGGGGGCACCAUUACUAGAAUGAAUUCUAUCUUGCCCUCACCUAGAAUUAUGGACAUGACAACAACCCAUAUCUUCCAUACAGACUUUCAAGCAGACACAGGGCACGUGGAGACUACCAAAGUCUGUUCCAGAAGAACAUUUGAGGGCUCUCAUUUCAAGAGACCUGCACUUGUAUGUGGAAGUUUAUCUCACUGGGAACUUCAUAGUUAUUCAGAAGUCUGACACCAGCAAGUUCACAAGGACUCAGGAAGA